GACGAACGCUGGCGGCGUGCUUAACACAUGCAAGUCGAACGGAGUGGCGAACGGGUGCGUACCACGUGGGUGAUCUGCCUUACACUUCGGGAUAAGCUGGGGAAACUGGGUGUAAUACCGGAUAGUGCAAGAUGAGGUCGCGGCCUAUCAGCUUGUUGGUGGGGUAAUGGCCUACUAAGUCGUCGAGGGGUAGCCGGCCUGAGAGGGUGUACGGCCACAUUGGUACUGCGAUACGGACCAGACUCCUACGGGAGGCAGCAGUUGGGAAUAUUGCACAAUGGGCGGAAGCCUGAUGCAGCGGUGCCGCGUGGGGGAUUAAGGGCUUUGGGUUGUAAACUCCUUUCGACAGGGACGCGGUACCUGUAUAGGAAGCAACGGCUAACUACGUGCCAGCAGCCGCGGUAAUAC
rnacentral:rRNA from 1 species